rnacentral:rRNA from 1 species
GGACUACAGGGGUAUCUAAUCCUGUUUGCUCCCCACGCUUUCGCACUUUAGUGUCAGUAUUGGUCCAGGAAGCCGCCUUCGCCACUGAUGUUCUUUCCGAUAUCUACGCAUUUCACCGCUACACCGGAAAUUCCACUUCCCUCUACCAUACUCUAGAUAUCCAGUAUCGAAUGCAAUUCCUAGGUUAAGCCCAGGGAUUUCACAUCCGACUUAAAUAUCCACCUACGUGCGCUUUACGCCCAGUGAUUCCGAUUAACGCUCGCACUCUCUGUAUUACCGCGGCGGCUGGCAC